rnacentral:lncRNA from 15 species
CUGUUGAAUCAGCUCAGUUUUGGAUUUACAGCCUCAUUUGAACGUGGUGUUUUGUUUUGAGCUCAGUCAGUUUGGAAAAGCCCGCCUCGUACAAGUAUGUGGAGGCAAAAGUUUUCCCUCAUCAGUGCCACCCAGAAGAUCACGAGAGAACAAGUGGCAAAAAGAUGCUUCAACCUGCCAUCACUGUUCAGCUCAAUAAAUUGUCCCUGCAUUUCUGAAGACAGACAGAUCAUUACCUGUGCAGAUAAAUGGGUCCCAUUACCUAGAACUAGUCCUCCAUAGAGCUGUUCUAAAAUCACUGUAAAUCACGGUUCAGUCAGCUUUUAUUAAACGGUUGCUAAAACGGUUACUGUAGACAACCUAGUAAUACUUCAGAAAAGAAACACACGGUAACAUAAAAUGUGAAUAUUUACUGAAAACAAAUCCUAAUCCUUCCACCCCGAAAUAUAACAUUAGUUCCCCAAGACAGCACAAUGGUUGCCAAGCAACAGCGGCGCACUAAUACCAGAGACGUCAAACUAGUGCUGAGCAGACAGACAGGAGUCAGUUCAUGAUUCAUGAUUCACAGUUCAUUCAGUAUGUCACUCGGGGGUCUGUCCACAGAGGAACUUGUACAAAAGGCUCAGAAAUUUAGAGACAAUGAUGUGGAUGGAGAGACAGUAAACUGCGGACUCACGGAAAAUAUGAUUGCAUAUCUCUUUGACAAGACUUUCAAAAAGCAGCUAAAAUUCAAAGACUUCACACGCCGCUACAAGGAGGCCACCCUUACUUUGGAAGUAGUCAACCCAUAACAACAAACAUGUGAAGCUUCUGUGUCCCCAGCAAACCAGAGUUUGGAAUCUACUUGCCACAGACUGCCUGCAGUCAUUUCCAUUCCACAAUUCCCACAAGAUGUCCAGAGGCGCUUAGAUGCCAAAGAACCGGUCCACAAGAAAUGUACACACUGAAGCCAUCCCUUUAUUCUUGAAAAUUAAGUACAUUCUGAAUGUUGAGACUUUUUGGGUGUUGUGGAAAACUGUUAUUGCCUUGCUCUUAUGACAAUCACUUCCAUGCUUACCAUGUCACAGUUGACAAUGACUGGAUUCUGCUCAGUCCAGGAAAUGAGUUAGACCAGUGGUUCUCAAUUAUUUUCUGUCAUGCCCCCCCUAGAGGACAGACAUUUUUUCACGCCCCCCCCUGAAUUUUAAUACUAUUGAGAAACUGAUAAUAUUUAUUUAUUUAUCUGUACAAACCACAGUAUGAGUUGCUAGCAUCAGCAUUCUGCAUACAAUCACCUGAUUAUCAAAAUUGAUUAAUAAAAUGAUCUGAGAUAACAUCUGCAACAACUUAAAACAAUUUCCAAGUUCAGUUUAUUAACUCAAUUUGUAACAUUUAAACAAGACUGCUCAGUCUGUGAUCCUCAAAACAGAGAAAAAAGUGCAAAUGAUUCACUGGGAUGUGCAUUUUUAUAGACUUAACACAGUAACAUUCAAAACUGUUUUAAACUGUAAACAUUGGUCACUUGUCAGCUUCAUCAGCUUAUUCCUUUUCAAAAAGGCAUAUGACUUUUUAAUGUUUUUUUUUUUUGUGUGAUGUUUUUUUGCACCUUGCGAUGUGGCGGUGUUUGUACGGCUAACAGUGCGUUUUUAUUUACUGAUGCCGCGCUCACUAAAUGACCGACCUGUUGGAGAUACGCAUCGAGUAUCUGAUGAAAAAAGUCCAGCGGCUUAUUGACAGAACUGGGGUGUAAGGUCUCCAGGUGCCGUCUUAAAUUGUUUGGUUUCAUGCUGUCCGCUGCCAGAGUUUUUAAACAUAAAACACACACAGGUCUUUCCUCAUUUCCGACCGUAUUCACGGUAAACCUAAAGGCUAUGUAGGCUUCGUCGUAUUUCCUGGUCUUAAUAGGCUUAUGCCUGUUACCGUCACUUGCUGUUCUUGCCUCUGACGUCUCCUCCGUUUUUCUUUUUACUCCUGUCAGAAACUUCUCCAUCUCUCCUCCUCCGUCAGUCAGCCUUUCGCGCCCCCCCUGACACCUCACCACUAUUUGAGAAGUACUGAGUUAGACCAUCAAGCUCUCGACACCUAUUUAGAUGAUGAUAGACUGUUUGUUUCCUUGAGGUAUUCUGUAUAAAUAUAUUCUAUCUAAAUAUGUUUGUUAGUAAAAGUAUUCUGCCUUACGUUAAUGUGACUGCAAUCUUUACAUCUUGUUAUGUUAUGCAUUGACAUUGAUUCAUUUUAUAUGUAACUAUAUUGAAUUGAAUGAAUUAACAUUUUAUUACACCAUAAAUGCUGCCAUGUUUAUCUGAAAAAAUAUAUUUUCAUUGAUGUUAAUAAAUGGUAAGGAAGCAAUUAUUGUGUAGACAAUUCUGGUACAUUUUUGUCUCCUUAAAGUCCAGAAUAGCUUGUCACUGGGGGGGUACUCUUAUAUAGUACAGGAAAGUACCCUUUCAAUGAGUACAUUGCUGUACCUUAUAGAUUAAAGGUACUUUUAUGUAUUGCAGGGUACACAACUGUACUUUAACUGGUACAAUUUGAUUGGUACAUUUGGUACAUUGGUACACAAAUGGACCAGCACUGAAAGGUACACAAUUGUUUCUCAAAAGCCCCCCCCCCCCCCCACGACAAGCAUUUGUACCGAUUUAGGUAAAAACUGGU